rnacentral:rRNA from 1 species
UACGUAGGGAGCAAGCGUUGUCCGGAAUCAUUGGGCGUAAAGCGCGCGUAGGCGGCCCGAUAAGUCCGCUGUAAAAGUCAACGGCUCAACUGUUGAAAGCCGGUGGAUACUGUCGGGCUAGAGUACGGAAGAGGCAAGUGGAAUUCCUGGUGUAGCGGUGGAAUGCGCAGAUAUCAUUAGGAACGCCGGUGGCGAAAGCGACGUGCUGGACCUCUUCUGACGCUGAGGCGCGAAAGCUAGGGGAGCGAACGGG